GGGGAUGUUAUGGAUUCGACAGGUAUAGGUUGUGCUUAAAUUGCGUUUGGUAGGUUGCGACUACCAUAAAACGCUCAGUUAAAAUAUAACUGCAAAAAAUAAUACAAACUCUUACGCUUUAGCUGCUUAAUCGCAGUUGCGUAAAUCUGCCUAACAUUGUCUAUGUGUUAGAUACAGGUUUUAUAAUAAAUAGACUUACGUUUAUCACUCACAUCUGAAGUGAUAAAGAGAGGCUUAAUCAGAUUAGUUACUAAUGUUGGCCAAGCCAUAUGGCGUAAUUAGUAAUGAAAACUAAAUGAUAUGACUAUGAACGUAGAUAUUUAAGUGGCAAUAUGCUUGGACGCGGGUUCGAUCCCCGCCAUCUCCAUUG
rnacentral:tmRNA from 1 species